rnacentral:misc_RNA from 1 species
AAGGUAGAGCAAGUGUGAGUGAAGGAAAAAGAGUAACAAGAGGUCAAGAAGGAGGAGGAUAAUGAAUAGAAUAGGAAAGGAAGGGAGGAAUAAGGAGAAAUAAGAGGAGGAGGAGAGUAAACAAGAUACAAAAAGUGAUGAUCUUGGAAAUAAUGUAAACAAAUCAAGGAAAAUGCUUAGAAAAACGAAAUGAUGACAUGAAUAAUAGUGAAUGAGUGAAAAUAAUGAUUAAUUAGCAUAACAACCUAACCACAUAACAGCUUGGCCGCCUCUGACACCAAGGCUCAUUCUACCCCAGCCUAACCUGACCUUGGCUUACCCUCACCUCACCUGACCUGCUGGAAAAUGACAGCCAGGCCCAGGUAGCAGCAAUGCCGGAGACAAGAGUAACCCAACACUACCCCAAUACUCGGCAGGGGAGUGUGGGGGCCCGAGGGUACAUGGCGGCAGGAAAGAACAUUGAUGUGGGAGGGGUGAGGCCGCUGGUGUCCCGGACAGAAAUUAAUUGUGGCCGCCCUGGAGUCUCAUCCCGCACUGGCAAACCUGCGUACAAAUCCCAGGAGGAGCAGUACCAGGAGAUCCAGGAGCUACGCCAGGGCCUGGGACACCUGCGGGAGGAGAACUCAACCUUGAGGACUCGGAGCCGUCGCCUGGAGGAGGAUCUGGCAAGGCGGGACAGACAGAUACAGCAGCUGAUGGACCCAACAAAGAAUGACGAGGCGCGCAGAAAACUCACAGACAAGGGCGCCUCCCUGGUGGCGAGCCUGAAGCUACGUGUGUCGCGCCUGGAGGCCACACUGCGGGCCAAGGAAGCAGAGCUGGCCCGCCUGCAUGCCUCGGCCAAGGCCACGUCCCUCAAUGAGAUGAAGAUUGAGGCUGAGACUUAUUAUCAGGAGGUGGUGAGACUGAGGAACCAACUAAACAUCGUGCAACAGCAGCAACAGCAGCAGCACCAGUACUUCCCAGCGAACCAACAUCCCCAGGAGCCGCAGGAACACGCACCACCACCACCACCACCACCACACAACCAGGCACAAGUCAACACCACAGCCAUUGCCACUGCCACUCAGCCAACCCACUCCAGCACAAUGAGAGGGAAACGUGACAGUCGGGAGAGGGAGAGAGAGAGAGAGAAGGAGACACCGCAGGACAGACGAGGGGGCGGUGAUGGCCAGGAGUCUCCCUCAGCUGGUCUCCGUCAGGCACUGUCACGUCUGGAGGAGGAGAAUACAAGGCUUGGGCAGCAGGUGUCAGCGCUUGUGUCAGAGAAGGAGAAGCUCACGGCUGAUUUGGAGAGAGUUCUGGGCCUGACUGAGGAGGUGAAAGGCAACUUUGAAGGGCUGAGCCGGGCCGAGUUGAUCCGAGAGGUGGAGCGGCGGGAAGCAGAGGUGGUGCGCUGGGAGUCUCAACACAAACAGCUGACAGAUGCUCUCGGACGGCACUCAGAGCAGGCUGGGGAGAACUCAGCACUCUUGCAGGCCCGUGUGGCAGAGCUGCAGGGGCGGGAGGAGGAGUGGAACAGGGAGCGGUCGAGCCUGCAGGAGCUGAUCAACACUCUGAAGGACGACCGCAUCUUCUACAAGGAGACGGCACAGAAGAAAGACUCUGAGAUGGACGGUCUGCGGCAGGAGGUCCAGGCACUACAGCAGGAGGUGUCUGGGCUGCAGGAGGCACAGCGGCGACGGGGGGACAGACUCACGGCUUCCACCCAACGCACCACCAGGCCAGGAGGGGUGUCUGCAUCAUCACGCUCUGGCUCCAGCAGUGAGGCACACACCCCACCAAGCCGUCGACCUCGCCCCUCCAGCGCCAGGCCCCCCGCAGCAGGCACCCGCCCACCACGCAACACGAAGGCCUCCAGCGAACCACGGGAGACAGCCAGUCCUUCUCGGCGCACCACAAGCACCCAGCCAAGAAAACCACCUCCUGCGAAAUCCUCCUCCACCCGCACUGCAUCCUCUUCCAUGUCCUCCUCCUCUCAGAUGUCCCCAAGGAAGCAGCCCACGCCAGGUAGUCGUGGGGUGGUGAAGCAGAGCAGGCAGCCCACACCUUCAUCUUCCCUCUCCUCCAAGACCUCCACACCCACAGCCUCCCCGAGUAAGGUCCCAGCAAGAGUCACGAGCUCCUCUUCCUCGUCCCCGCAACACAGGUCAAGUCUAUCUUCACCACAGCAGAAAAAUGGCACACCAAGGUCAUCCAGGCAGCAGAACGGUAUGAUUGGUUCUCCACAGCACAAGGAGGGUGUCAGUGCUUCACCUAAACACAGAAAUGGGGUCAUCGGGUCACCUCGGGUCAAGCCAACAUCCCCAGUCAAGACCCCGACACCCAGGUCUUCCUCCAGGUCAUCCACCCCUUCAUCACAGGUCAGGUCUUCCCCUAGCAAGGUCACUGCCUCGCCCCGCUCCCCCUCCAAGGUACCCCAGCCCAGUCCUAGGGGAAGGAAGGGUGCUACAGAGGCUCCCCCACCUCCACCACAGCACACCCCUCGACGGCAGGGUAGCUCUGGCCUUUCUUCUACGGAGGAAGAUGAGAGGGUGCUGGCUGAGAUAAUCUUCCAAAGGGACACUGAUACAAGCUUAGAGGUGGCCCCUGAUACACCUCGCUCUCUCUCCAUGGCAAGGCAGCGAACUGUUACCCUUGAUACUCAGGAGGAAGAGAGCUUGCAGGAACACACCUCUCUCUCCUCACAAGGCAUGGGUAGCAGGGAAGAGGAGGGACUAAAGGAAGAGGAGGAGUUGUCGCCAGGAAAGAGAAGAAGGCGAAAAGAUAGAGAGCCGUCCCUCAGCAGUCCUCGGGAGCAGCUGGCAGGGCUCCUCAGCGCACACACUCGCCGGUGCCUCCACUUGGCUAUGUGGCAGGACAGCCCCACAACCUCGGUACCUCCCAGGGAAGGGGCAAGCUUGGUGGAGCUGUGUGGCAGGAUGAGACAGGCGUUAGGACAGCUGCGUCAGGAUAUGAGGUGUUAGGAGGCUGAGUGAAGGGUGUGAGUGGGUGUCUGUGAGAGCAGCGAGGUUUUAGGACAGUGAGAGUAUGAGGCAUUUGGAGAAUGAGUGAUGGAUAUGAGCUUCUUUUGAGCAGAGGUGCAAGGUAGGGUAAAAAAUGUAGGAUCUUAAAUGAUGUGAUGAAUUUAAGUUGCUAUUUUUUUUAGUUAAUCAGUGAGGUGUUAAGAUCUGAAGGAUAUGUGAGUGACUGUAUUUAAGAGGAAAAGUGAGGUAAGGUGAGGUUACUGUCAGGAGUGCUAUGUGUGAGUAGACAUUAUUCUAAGCCUUAAUUUAUUAUUGCUCAAGGUAGGAACUGUGAUGGGCUUUAGUAUUACAUAAGUUAGGUUAGGUUAGGGUCUUGAGUGAUGUGUGGAUUUGCUAUUGGACAGGGAAGGAAUCUAGGUUGUCUUGGUAGGUUAUGUGAUGCUUGGGGGCUUGAUUGAUGUGAAGGAGUAUUUGGUGUGUUUCAUGAAGACAACACAGUGCUAGACCUUGCUAUCUUGGUGCUAGGAAAGGUGCUACAGCUCUGUGUAUCAGUACUCUUAUAAUUUUCUUAGAUUGACAUAGGAUUUUAGAAGGGUUUUGUAUAAAAGUGUGUAUGAAUGUAUUUAAUGGUUUAUUUUCUUAGGUUUGUGUAGGUUGGUAGUGUGUGUAUGUAUUUGCGUGUGUAUGUGUAUAACUAGCAUUAUAGGUAUUAUAUGAGUGUGUGUGUGUGUGUGUGUGUGUAGCUAGCAUCACGGGUAUCGGUAUCAGGCGUAUGAGGCGAGGAAAUGUUGCAGCAGCUCUUGGAGUAAGUGAGCGCCUCUCCCUUGACCAUCACACACAGCCAAGGCACCUGCAGGAGGCCCUCAGUUCACUCCUUGUGGGACACUUGGGACGAAACAUCAAGGUCUCGGCCAUUCAGUGCGGGGAGCCAGUGCUGAUCGCCGAGACCCUGGAUGUGUUGCGCUCACUGCUGUCAGGCCACCUCAGUAGGCAGCAGGAAGUGAAUCACCUGCUGACCAGUGCACCACUGCUGGUUGGAGAGGGUCAG